rnacentral:misc_RNA from 1 species
UUCAGAUGAUUCAUGGCGGAGGUG